rnacentral:rRNA from 1 species
UACGAAGGGGGCUAGCGUUGUUCGGAAUCACUGGGCGUAAAGCGCACGUAGGCGGAUGUGUCAGUCAGGGGUGAAAUCCCGGAGCUCAACUUCGGAACUGCCUCUGAUACAGCACGUCUUGAGUUCGAGAGAGGUGGGUGGAAUUCCUAGUGUAGAGGUGAAAUUCGUAGAUAUUAGGAAGAACACCGGUGGCGAAGGCGGCCCACUGGCUCGAUACUGACGCUGAGGUGCGAAAGCGUAGGGAGCAAACAGG